rnacentral:rRNA from 1 species
GUGUCAGCAGCCGCGGUAAUACGUAGGUGGCGAGCGUUAUCCGGAAUUACUGGGUGUAAAGGGUGAGUAGGCGGGAGAGCAAGUCAGAUGUGAAAUCCAAAGGCUUAACCUUUGAAUUGCAUUUGAAACUGUUCUUCUUGAGAGUCGGAGAGGUAAUCGGAAUUCCUAGUGUAGCAGUGAAAUGCGUAGAUAUUAGGAGGAACACCAGUGACGAAGGGGGAUUACUGGACGACAACUGACGCUGAUUCAAGAAAGGGUGGGGAACAAACAGGAUUAGA